GGCUAUUUAUAGAGUCGCGCACGGUAUAGAUACGCGUGGGACUGCCUUUAUCUGCGGGAUAACGGUUGGAAACGACCGCUAAUACCGCAUACGCCCUACGGGGGAAAGGUCCGCCGGAGAAAGAGGGUGCCCGCGUCUGAUUAGCUAGCUUGGUGGGGUAACGGCCUACCAAGGCGACGAUCAGUAGCUGGUCUGAGAGGAUGAUCAGACACACUGGGACUGAGACACGGACCAGACUCCUACGGGAGGCAGCAGUGGGGAAUAUUUGGACAAUGGGGGCAACCCUGAUCCAGCAAUGACGCGUGUGUGAUGAAGGCCCUAGUGGUUGUAAAGCACUUCCACUGGUGAACAUGACUGACGGUAACCAGAGAAGAAGCCCCGGCUAACUUCGUGCCAGCAGCCGCGAGUAACUACGAAGGGGGCGAGCGCUUGCCCGGAACUUACUGGGCGUAACAGGGCCCGUAGGCCGCCUCUCAACUCACGCCGUGAACAUCCCCGCGCUCACCUGCGACCUGCGCCUUACACACCUGGCACCUACAAAGGAAGAGGGUACUGAAUCCACGU
rnacentral:rRNA from 1 species